GGCUGCCGGAGUACCGGGUCGCCGCCUCGCCGGCCGGGGGUCGAGUCCAUCGAUCGGUCCGGGAGAUGAUGUCGUGCGUGCCUGCAACCGCAACAGGGGCGCCGCUGCCCCGGUGCCUGCCCAUGGCACGGGAGGCUGGCGGUUACUCUCACUGUUGCCGCCUUUUCGAUCGGAUUUGGUAUUUCUGUCUAUUCUUCGGUGACUAGCAUAUGCGUGUGGUAUUCGCAUCUGUUCAGAGAUGUGGGUAUGGGUUGCAGAUGGGCCUUGCACGCUAGGUGCUUGUUGUUUGCCUCGCUCUAUCCCGUAUGGUUUGUUGUAUUUGCGAGCCUAGGACUUUCCCUGAAUAGCAUGUAGCAUCAGCUUCGGGUAGAAUCUUCCUGCGAUUUCCUUUUUUCCCAUUGCAUUGGUGAUACUGGCAGCUCCUUUUGCUUCACGUUUGUCAUGUGCAGUUUAUUGUGAUGACAGUAAUUCCUGUCUUUGUGUUCAGUAUCUGUUAGUGUUUUCUUUCUGUUUUGAUUCAGUUAGCAGUCGGCAGUCAGUAUGCCAGUCGUCGGCUGAACAGGUCAAGGUUGUUAGCAGGUCCUAGUCUUUAGGGAGUAGAGUUAGGAGAGUCACUUGUUCUCCUCAGGACGUGUCCUGACUUUUAGGGGUCAUCAGGGCCAUUAGCAUCAGCCACUAAGGCUUUGUUUUACAGUUCUGUAAGAACAAGAUAAACCCAAAGCUGCUUUUGCAGCACAAAAUCCUACCGAGUUCAUUGUGAGCUUGAGUGAGUUGAGAGCAUACAUAUUGAAUCUGUAGUUUAGUAUGCUAUAGUUUGAGGGUUUUUUUUCGGUUCAGUUGCUGGACAGUGCUGAUCUUUAGGUGUAUAGUUUAUUGUUCAUAAAAUCUGUUGGCACGUAUUGUAGAAUUCAAGAGUUCUUUUGGUUUCUUGGUUCAUUCGGCUGGACUGUGCUGAUCUGUUAGCUACACCUCGUCUUAUAUCCUUCUGCUGUUGUUGUUCCUGCUGCUGCUGCUGCUGAAUAGGAGUACCAAACGGGUUGUCUUCCUUUCAUAUGGAUCCGGUUGCAAUAUAUAAGUGCCCUCGACUGCAAUAAUCACAGAAAAUGCACAAAUAUUUCAUUGAUGGAUCAAGUAAUUUGUUCUUUGUUUUAUGUAAUUGCUCACGGCUUGACAAUGAAGAUUGCUGAGUUUACCGGCAUUGCUCACUUCACACCUGGUAUUGAACAUACUUAAAAUUUAAUUCUAAUGAGAUCUUAACUAAAAUGAUCUGGGGUAUUCGUUGCAGGUCAAGCGCAUACCAAACACUUUCACGUCACUUGAAAGUUACUUGAAUUCAUUUGCUGGUCCACUGAUUGAAGAAGUGCAUGCUGAUAGUUUCUCAUCGCUGGAUGGUUAUGCUCAGGCGAGCUUUACACAAAUCUACAACAUUGAGUUUGGAGAGAAAGUAACUAUGCAGUAAGGACGGCCUUUACCAGACGACGGAGCACGUGAAGCAGCAGCCGAAGAAGCUGUCGAGGAAACAGAUGUCGUCGAAGGAGCUAGUGUAGAAGACCCCGUAGGUGAAGCCGCAAGCACUGUGGGCACUGGAGGAAGCGUCAGAAGACCAACAUCACGAAGACGAGUCUCCUCAUAGUGAACAGCAGUGAGCACCUCCACAAGUGAGACACGAGGGUGAUAUGCAAGUAGCUCAGCACGACACUGCUCGUACUCCGGUCGAAGCCGAGUGAGGAACUCGUAGAUGCGCCAGAAAUCGCGCUCAGCUCGGAGAGCGCGACAGCAGUCACAGGUACGAUAGCCAGCAGUGCAGAGAGUGUCCAACUGGCACCAUACAGUAGACAUCUGAGUAUAAAAGGCAUCGACAGUAAAAUCUCCCUGCUGAAGUGUCUGCUCCUGACGAACCACUGAAAGAGGCCUGGGCGGCGAUACCGUCCAUAAAAGAUUUAUGUGUUGCCAAACAUCAUCUCUUUCAUCUUGAUUCUGCUGAAGGAAGAAAUUGGCAGGAAACCUGUCCUAAACGCCGUUCGUGAGAGAUCAGGGGCUCCCAAGGUGAUUACUUCGAUUGAGUACUUGGCGUGGACAUUUUUACUUUCUGUUACCCUGAAAGGAUCGUUGAAUUUGUAUCUAUGAUGUUGCUGGAGAAAACUAUAGUACCUUGUUAAACUGCUACUUGAGCUCGAUGGACACUGAUUGCCCGACUCGCUUUUUAUGAUUU